AGCGAACGCUGGCGGCAGGCUUAACACAUGCAAGUCGAGCGGGCGUAGCAAUACGUCAGCGGCAGACGGGUGAGUAACGCGUGGGAACGUACCUUUUGGUUCGGAACAACACAGGGAAACUUGUGCUAAUACCGGAUAAGCCCUUACGGGGAAAGAUUUAUCGCCGAAAGAUCGGCCCGCGUCUGAUUAGCUAGUUGGUGAGGUAACGGCUCACCAAGGCGACGAUCAGUAGCUGGUCUGAGAGGAUGAUCAGCCACAUUGGGACUGAGUCACGGCCCAAACUCCUACGGGAGGCAGCAGUGGGGAAUAUUGGACAAUGGGGGCAACCCUGAUCCAGCCAUGCCGCGUGAGUGAUGAAGGCCCUAGGGUUGUAAAGCUCUUUUGUGCGGGAAGAUAAUGACGGUACCGCAAGAAUAAGCCCCGGCUAACUUCGUG
rnacentral:rRNA from 1 species